GAUGAAGAACGUAGCAAAAUGCGAUAAGUAGUGUGAAUUGCAGAAUUCAGUGAAUCAUCGAAUCUUUGAACGCACAUUGCGCCCGCCAGUAUUCUGGCGGGCAUGCCUGUCUGAGCGUCAUUUCAACCCUCAGCCCCCGCUCGCGGGGCGCUGGCGUUGGGGAUCGGCCGUCCUCGCGGCGGCCGGCCCCGAAACACAGUGGCGGUCUCUCGCGGACUCCCCUGCGUAGUAGCACUACCUCGCAGAAGGGACGAGCGGGCUGACCACGCCGUAAAACCCCCCACUUCUCCAGGUUGACCUCAGAUCAGGUAGGAAUACCCGCUGAACUUAAGCAUAUCAAUAAGCGGAGGA
rnacentral:misc_RNA from 1 species